rnacentral:tRNA from 2 species
GCCGAUGUAGUUUAGUGGUAGAACAUCAGCUUCCCAAGCUGAGAGUGCGAGUUCGAUUCUCGUCAUCGGCUCCA